AUUGAACGCUGGCGGCAGGCCUAACACAUGCAAGUCGAGCGGGGUUUUCGGACCUAGCGGCGGACGGGUGAGUAAUGCGUAGGAAGCUGCCAGAUAGAGGGGGAUACCAGUUGGAAACGACUGUUAAUACCGCAUAAUGUCUACGGACCAAAGUGUGGGACCUUCGGGCCACAUGCUAUCGGAUGCGCCUAAGUGGGAUUAGCUAGUUGGUGAGGUAAUGGCUAACCAAGGCGACGAUCUCUAGCUGGUUUGAGAGGAUGAUCAGCCACACUGGAACUGAGACACGGCCCAGACUCCUACGGGAGGCAGCAGUGGGGAAUAUUGGACAAUGGGCGCAAGCCUGAUCCAGCCAUGCCGCGUGUGUGAAGAAGGCCUUCGGGUUGUAAAGCACUUUCAGCGAGGAGGAAGGGAUGUAUGUAAAUAGCAUGCAUUUUUGACGUUACUCGCAGAAGAAGCACCGGCUAACUCUGUGCCAGCCGCCGCCGCAGUAA
rnacentral:rRNA from 1 species